GCUCCAUUAGCUCAGUUGGGAGAGCCCAAGGAAUAAAGGGCAUCCCUGACUUUUGAUCGAGUGGCCAUGGGUUCGAGUCCCAUGUGGGGUA
rnacentral:tRNA from 1 species